rnacentral:rRNA from 1 species
GAACGGAAAGGGCCCCGGUUUUUUUGGGGUGCUCGAGUGGGGAACGGGCUUAGUAACACGUGAGUAACCUGCCCUUGACUUUGGGAUAACUUCAGGAAACUGGGGCUAAUACCGGAUAGGAGCUCCUGCUGCAUGGUGGGGGUUGGAAAGUUUCGGCGGUUGGGGAUGGACUCGCGGCUUAUCAGCUUGUUGGUGGGGUAGUGGCUUACCAAGGCUUUGACGGGUAGCCGGCCUGAGAGGGUGACCGGCCACAUUGGGACUGAGAUACGGCCCAGACUCCUACGGGAGGCAGCAGUGGGGAAUAUUGCACAAUGGGCGGAAGCCUGAUGCAGCAACGCCGCGUGCGGGAUGACGGCCUUCGGGUUGUAAACCGCUUUCGCCUGUGACGAAGCGUGAGUGACGGUAAUGGGUAAAGAAGCACCGGCUAACUACGUGCCAGCAGCCGCGGUGAUACGUAGGGUGCGAGCGUUGUCCGGAUUUAUUGGGCGUAAAGGGCUCGUAGGUGGUUGAUCGCGUCGGAAGUGUAAUCUUGGGGCUUAACCCUGAGCGUGCUUUCGAUACGGGUUGACUUGAGGAAGGUAGGGGAGAAUGGAAUUCCUGGUGGAGCGGUGGAAUGCGCAGAUAUCAGGAGGAACACCAGUGGCGAAGGCGGUUCUCUGGGCCUUUCCUGACGCUGAGGAGCGAAAGCGUGGGGAGCGAACAGGCUUAGAUACCCUGGUAGUCCACGCUGUAAACGGUGGGUACUAGGUGUGGGGUUCAUUCCACGGGUUCCGUGCCGUAGCUAACGCUUUAAGUACCCCGCCUGGGGAGUACGGCCGCAAGGCUAAAACUCAAAGGAAUUGACGGGGCCCCGCACAAGCGGCGGAGCAUGCGGAUUAAUUCGAUGCAACGCGUAGAACCUUACCUGGGUUUGACAUGGAUCGGGAGUGCUCAGAGAUGGGUGUGCCUCUUUUGGGGUCGGUUCACAGGUGGUGCAUGGCUGCCGUCAGCUCGUGUCGUGAGAUGUUGGGUUAAGUCCCGCAACGAGCGCAACCCUUGUUCACUGUUGCCAGCACGUUAUGGUGGGGACUCAGUGGAGACCGCCGGGGUCAACUCGGAGGAAGGUGGGGAUGACGUCAAGUCAUCAUGCCCCUUAUGUCCAGGGCUUCACGCAUGCUACAAUGGCUGGUACAGAGAGUGGCGAGCCUGUGAGGGUGAGCGAAUCUCGGAAAGCCGGUCUCAGUUCGGAUUGGGGUCUGCAACUCGACCUCAUGAAGUCGGAGUCGCUAGUAAUCGCAGAUCAGCAACGCUGCGGUGAAUACGUUCCCGGGGCU